GUGAGGAAUUUUCCGCAAUGGACGAAAGCCUGACGGAGCAAUGCCGCGUGAAGGAUGAAGGCCUAUGGGUUGUAAACUUCUUUUCUCAGAAAAGAAUUAUGACGGUAUCUGAGGAAUAAGCAUCGGCUAACUCUGUGCCAGCAGCCGCGGUAAGACAGAGGAUGCAAGCGUUAUCCGGAAUGAUUGGGCGUAAAGCGUCUGUAGGUUGUUUAAAAAGUAUUCUGUCAAAGAUUAGGGCUUAACCCUAGAUAGGCAGAAUAAACUUUUAAGCUAGAGUUUGGUAGAGGCAGAGGGAAUUCCCGGUGGAGCGGUGAAAUGCGUAGAUAUCGGGAGGAACACCAAAGGCGAAGGCACUCUGCUGGGCCAAUACUAACACUGAGAGACGAAAGCGAGGGGAGCAAAUGGGAUUAGAAACCCGUGUAGUCC
rnacentral:rRNA from 1 species